CCCUUAGACACUCUAGGCGGCACGCGCGCUACAAUGGGUGGAAGAACGUGUUACUGCCUCCGAAAGGAGGGGUGAGUCACGAAUUCUUGCCCGUGAAUGGGAUAGUUUGUUGCAAUUUUCGGACUUGAACUAGGAAUCCCUUGUAAACAUGCUCAAGAAUAGCGUGUUGAAUACGUCCCUGCCGUUUGUACACACCGCCCGUCGUUUCUUCCGACUGAUACUCAUUGUGAGUUGCAAGGACCCUUUAUUGGGAAAUUGCUGCAAAUGCUUUGUAUUGGAGGAAGAAAAAGUCGUAACA
rnacentral:rRNA from 1 species